rnacentral:rRNA from 1 species
GGUUAAGCGACUAAGCGUACACGGUGGAUGCCCUGGCAGUCAGAGGCGAUGAAGGACGUGCUAAUCUGCGAAAAGCGCCGGCGAGGUGAUAUGAACCUUUGACCCGUCGAUGUCCGAAUGGGGAAACCCAGUGUGUUCCGACACACUAUCGUUAACUGAAUACAUAGGUUAACGAGGCGAACCGGGGGAACUGAAACAUCUAAGUACCCCGAGGAAAAGAAAUCAACCGAGAUUCCCCCAGUAGCGGCGAGCGAACGGGGAGCAGCCCGGAGUCUGAAUCAGCUUGUGUGUUAGUGGAACGGUCUGGAAAGUCCGACGGUACAGGGUGAUAGUCCCGUACACGAAAAUGCACAGGUUGUGAACUCGAAGAGUAGGGCGGGACACGUGGUAUCCUGUCUGAAUAUGGGGGGACCAUCCUCCAAGGCUAAAUACUCCUGACUGACCGAUAGUGAACCAGUACCGUGAGGGAAAGGCGAAAAGAACCCCGGCGAGGGGAGUGAAAAAGAACCUGAAACCGUGUACGUACAAGCAGUGG